CAUGCAUGCCUGGUACCCAGGGAUAUCAAAAGAGGAUGUUGGACACUCUGGAACUGGAGUUAUAGCCAGUUGUGAGCCGCCAUGCAGCUGCUGGAAACCAAAUCCAGGUCCUCUGCAAGACCAGCAAAUGUUCUUAACCACUAAGGCAUCUCUCCAGCCCCUACUAUAUAAUUUUUAUACAUUCUUUUAUUUGAAAAGAAUGUUACCCAAACAUAGGAAGCUAUUUGUUGUUUCAAUAUGCUGUAUCAUCUUUUUUUCUUUAAAGAUUUUAUUUAUUUAUUAUGUACACAACAUUCUGCUUCCAUGUAUAUCUGCACACCAGAAGAGGGCACCAGCUCUCAUAAUGGAUGGUUGUGAGCCACCAUGUGGUUGCUUGGAAUUGAACUCAGGACUCCUGGAAGAGUAGUCAGUGCUCUUAACCUCUCCAGCCCCCUGCUGUAUCAUCUUAAGUCUUUUCUUGGACACCUGUCUCAAACAAAAGAGAAAUCAGCAAAUGCUGGUAAAGAUGAGGUGAAAUGGGAAGACUCAUCCAUUGGUGGGAAUGUAAACCGGUACAGCCACUUUGGAAAUCAAAACAAGCUGGGUAACUAAAAACAGAACUGCCACAUGAACCAGCUCUAUUCCUUUAGGCAUAUGCUCAAAGACUCCCAAUUGUAGUACAGAUACUUGCUCAUCCAUGUUUAUUGAUACUUUAUUCACAGCAGUAAAGAAAUAGAAUCAGACUAACUGUUCAUCAGUAGAUGAAUGGAUAAUGAAAUGUGGAAUGUACACACAAUACAUUUUAUUUAGUCACAAAGAAAAAAAUUCAGGAAUAUCGGUGGAAAUUGGAAAGUAUUAUAUGAUGGAAGGCAAAGGUUCAGAAAGGCAAAUACUGUACAUCCUCUCCCAUAUGCAGAUCCUAACAUCUAACUGUAAAAUAUGUGUAUUGAGGCUGGGCGGUGUUGGCAUAUACCUUUGAUCCCAGCACUCAGGAGGCAGAAGCAGAUAAGUUCGAGGCCAGCCUGGUCUACUGAUGGAGUUCCAGGACAGCCUCCAAAGCAAUACAGAGAAACCCUGUCUCAAAAAAAAAAAAAAAAAAAAGUAUAUUGAGGGCUGGAAAGAUGUCUCAGUGGUUCUUCCAGAGGACUCAGGUAGUGGCACAACACUCUGUAACUCUAGUUCCAGAGGACUCCAAUGCUGUCUUCUGGCCUACAUGGGUACUGUACACACACAGACAUACAUGCAGGCAAAACAACAAUACAAAUAAAAAACCAACUCUCAAAAAUAUAUAUUUUUUAAAUAUCUGUGUAUCUAGGUGGAAGUAAAUGUGGUAAAGGCCAGGGAUGUUGAAAGGGGCCCAUUUUUAGGGAAAAGGGGUUUACAAUAGGACAAACUGGAAGAAGGAUCAGAGGUUGCCAGUGAGUACAGUAGGGAAAGACCUUCAGGGCAGGUAAAUAGAUGAUAGAGCAAGGGCAGAAGUCUCAACCAAAAUGAAAUAUGUAUGAAAGUCCUGUAUGGGAACCUAUUAUUUUGUAAUUUAAAAGUUAAAAUAAAGACUGAAGGAAUAGAUUAGUUCUUACCAGCAUUUGUUGCUUUAAAGAGGCCCUGGGUUAGGUUCCUAGCAUCCACAUGGUGGCUCACAGCCAUCUGUAACUCCAGUACCAGGGAAUCCAUCAGGCCACAUUGGGCACCAAGCAUGCAUGUGGUGCAUAGACACAAAUAAUAAAACAAAUAAUAAUAAAAGGGAGCUGGGAAGUCGGAAAGGCAAACAUGAGGACCUGAGUUUGAAUCCACAGAAUCCUCACCUGGAAUCCUCUUGCUGGGAAGUAAGAGGCAAGAGAACCCCAAGAGCUCACUGGUCAGUAAGCCUAGCAAAAUGGUGAGCUCCAGGUUCAGUCAGAGAGCUAGUCUCAAAAAAUAAGAGUGGUGAGAGAUUGAGAAAGGCACUAACCUUGAUAUCUGGUCUCCACAUACUCAGUCAUGGGUGUACACACCCUCACACUCACACAUGUACACAUGCAUACCACAAAAGGUAAAAUAUUCAAUAGCAAAUAAUAACACAGUUGCCAAAACCAUAGGGGUGGGAGAGAUGGGGAAAUCCCUCCUCAAUGCCCCUCUUUAUCAAUCAGCUAUCACUCAGUGAACAGUUACUCAGGGAAGUGUUGGGUAUUAAGUAUGAUACUCACAGACCGAGGACUCAUCGGCACACCAAUGUACUUGAAAGGAGGUUUGGGGAUUCAAUCAGUUCCGAAGUCCUGGGUUCAGUUUAGUCCCACACUAAGAGAAAAAUAAAAAUUAAGAAGCAAAAAUGCAUAAUGUUUUCCCCCAUAAGCAGAACACAGGAAUAUCCACAGCUACUACCAAGUAUGAAUCAUUUUAUCCACUUCCGCUAGCCCAGAAAGAUCAUCCUAUCUCUUCCUUAGUAUCAGGAGACCGAGAGUUAUGUCCUGGCUCUCUGCCUGCGGUCAUAAGUUGAUUUUAUCCAGAAAACUUUAAAAGCUUUUGCUUUGUUUUGAAACCAUAACAACGGAGACAGUGUGAUCUUUGCAAAGAUUUGGAGCUUAAAGAACCUUGAAGAUAAUUUUAUCUGUUGCCCUAAAACUCUGAAGUGGCCUCCUUUGUCUGUCAUUUCCCUGAAACUGAAUUGUUCUUCAUGAAGGUGUCUAAACCGUCCAGAUAGAGAACUUAGGAGGGCAAGAAGAGAAGGGUUUGUUU
rnacentral:lncRNA from 1 species